rnacentral:tRNA from 1 species
GGGGAUGUGGCUCAGUGGUAGAGCAAAGGCCCUGGGUUCAAUCCCUAGCAUAUGCA